UGCCCACUUCUCUCGGGUGGUCGUCUCGGGUCCUCUGACUCUGCUCAGGAGAAUGAAGAGGAAGAAGUGGAGAAGGAACCUGUGGCUGUUGGAGAAGUAAUGCCUGAAGGAAUGAAAGCUUUGCCUAAGGACGUGCCACCCAAGCUGGAGACUCCCAGAAACCUGUCACCUGUGUUCCUCUCCUUCCUGCAGUCUUGCCUGAACUGGAAUGUGAGGCCCCGAUGGCCCACCAGGCUGCUUCUGCAGGUAAAGUGGCUGCAGGGCACAAACGUGACAGCAGAACCUCUGCUGGCUCCCUCUAUUUCCGGACAAGACAUUAAAGAAGAGGAAGUGGACAAUGAACUUGUGGCUGU